rnacentral:rRNA from 1 species
UACAGAGGGGGCAAGCGUUGUUCGGAAUUACUGGGCGUAAAGGGCGCGUAGGCGGCCCGCUAAGUCGAACGUGAAAUCCCCGGGCUCAACCCGGGAACUGCGUCCGAUACUGGUGGGCUCGAAUCCGGGAGAGGGAUGCGGAAUUCCAGGUGUAGCGGUGAAAUGCGUAGAUAUCUGGAGGAACACCGGUGGCGAAGGCGGCAUCCUGGACCGGUACUGACGCUGAGGUGCGAAAGCGUGGGGAGCAAACAGGG